GAUGAACGCUAGCUACAGGCUUAACACAUGCAAGUCGAGGGGAAACGACAUCGAAAGCUUGCUUUUGACGGGCGUCGACCGGCGCACGGGUGAGUAACGCGUAUCCAACCUGCCCAUCACUUGGGAAUAACCUUGCGAAAGUAAGACUAAUACCCAAUGACAUCCCACGAAGACAUCUGAAUGGGAUUAAAGAUUUAUCAGUGAUGGAUGGGGAUGCGUCUGAUUAGCUUGUUGGCGGGGUAACGGCCCACCAAGGCAACGAUCAGUAGGGGUUCUGAGAGGAAGGUCCCCCACAUUGGAACUGAGACACGGUCCAAACUCCUACGGGAGGCAGCAGUGAGGAAUAUUGGUCAAUGGGCGAGAGCCUGAACCAGCCAAGUAGCGUGCAGGAUGACGGCCCUAUGGGUUGUAAACUGCUUUUAUAAGGGAAUAAAGUGGGUCUCGUGAGACUUUUUGCAUGUACCUGAUGAAUAAGGACCGGCUAAUUCCGUG
rnacentral:rRNA from 1 species